CCUCCGGCUCAGCGGUCAGGCAAAGGCUGGAGGCGGCGCCGCACCGGCUCUCGUCCUGCUCCUCGUGCUCCAGGAUGGCCUGCAGGAAGGCGCGCCGCUCGUGGCUCGACGACUUCUGGUCGAACAUGCCGGCCUGGAUCACCUUCUGGUCCACGUUCAGUUUGUAUUUGGCGGCCGCCAGGAUCUUCUCCUCCACGCUGUUGACGGUGCAGAGGCGCAGCACGCGGACCUCGUUCUGCUGCCCGAUGCGGUGAGCGCGGUCCUGAGCCUGCAGGUCCUGGUGGGGGUUCCAGUCGCUGUCGAAGAUG
rnacentral:lncRNA from 1 species